CACGUAGGGUCCGAGCGUUGUCCGGAAUUACUGGGCGUAAAGCGUGCGCAGGCGGUUGGGUCAGUCGCUGGUGAAAGCCCCACGCUCAACGUGGGAAUGGCCAACGAGACGGCCCGACUGGAGGCAGGGAGAGGCCGGUGGAAUUCCGGGUGUAGUGGUGAAAUGCGUAGAGAUCCGGAGGAACACCAGAGGCGAAGGCGGCCGGCUGGACCUGACCUGACGCUGAGGCACGAAGGCGUGGGGAGCGAACGGGAUUAGAUACCCCGGUAGUCCACGCGGUAAACGAUGUGCACUGGGUAUGGCGGGAGUUGACCCCUGCCGUGCCGGCGCUAACGCAGUAAGUGCACCGCCUGGGGAGUACGGCCGCAAGGCUAAA
rnacentral:rRNA from 1 species